AACGAACGCUGGCGGCAUGCCUAACACAUGCAAGUCGAACGAGACCUUCGGGUCUAGUGGCGCACGGGUGCGUAACGCGUGGGAACCUGCCCUUAGGUUCGGAAUAACUCCCCGAAAGGGGUGCUAAUACCGGAUAAUGUCUUCGGACCAAAGAUUUAUCGCCUUUGGAUGGGCCCGCGUUGGAUUAGCUAGUUGGUAGGGUAAAAGCCUACCAAGGCGACGAUCCAGAGCUGGUCUGAGAGGAUGAUCAGCCACACUGGGACUGGGCCACGGCCCAGACCGCAGGGAGAGGCGGGAGUGGGGAAUAUUGGGGAGGGAGCCAGAUCCUGCACCGGCACUGCCGGGAGGGUGGCGAGCGCGUUGGGGUUCGAAUUCGCUUUUGCCGGAGAGUAAAAGACCGGAACGGGGAAAGAAGCACCGGCUAACCCCGGU
rnacentral:rRNA from 1 species